rnacentral:rRNA from 1 species
CUUUUUUUUCCCCCUUUUUUCCCCCCCCUUUUAUUUUUUAUUUUUCCCACACUGUCAGGACGAACCGCGGGCGGGCGUGCCUUAAUUCCAUGCAAGUUCGAGCGGACCGGACGGGGAGCUUGUUCCCUUUAGUUCAGCGGCGGACGGGGUGAGUAACACGUGGGUACCUUCCCUGUAAGACUGGGAUAAUUCCGGGAACCCGGGGUUAAUACCGGAUGCUUGAUUGAACCCCAUGGUUCAAUCAUAAAAGGUGGCUUUUAGCUACCACUUACAGAUGGACCCGCGGCGCAUUAGCUAGUUGGUGAGGUAACGGCUCACCAAGGCGACGAUGCGUAGCCGACCUGAGAGGGUGAUCGGCCACACUGGGACUGAGACACGGCCCAGACUCCUACGGGAGGCAGCAGUAGGGAAUCUUCCGCAAUGGACGAAAGUCUGACGGAGCAACGCCGCGUGAGUGAUGAAGGUUUUCGGAUCGUAAAACUCUGUUGUUAGGGAAGAACAAGUACCGUUCGAAUAGGGCGGCACCUUGACGGUACCUAACCAGAAAGCCACGGCUAACUACGUGCCAGCAGCCGCGGUAAUACGUAGGUGGCAAGCGUUGUCCGGAAUUAUUGGGCGUAAAGCGCGCGCAGGCGGUUUCUUAAGUCUGAUGUGAAAGCCCCCGGCUCAACCGGGGAGGGUCAUUGGAAACUGGGGAACUUGAGUGCAGAAGAGGAGAGUGGAAUUCCACGUGUAGCGGUGAAAUGCGUAGAGAUGUGGAGGAACACCAGUGGCGAAGGCGACUCUCUGGUCUGUAACUGACGCUGAGGCGCGAAAGCGUGGGGAGCGAACAGGAUUAGAUACCCUGGUAGUCCACGCCGUAAACGAUGAGUGCUAAGUGUUAGAGGGUUUCCGCCCUUUAGUGCUGCAGCAAACGCAUAAGCACUCCGCCUGGAGACUGCCGGUC